CGGAUAAAAAUUUGUGCCUUUUACUGUUAUUAUGAAAACAGAAGCCACAGUUGAGGUCAAAAUGGGUUCACUCAUAGUUCCUUAAACAACAACUUUCUUCACUGUCAGUUUGUGCCUGCUGCUUCGGUAUAUGGUUCGUCGUGGGAAGAUUGGCUACAUAUAUUCGCACAUACGAAGCCAAAUGGAUCUGUAGACUAUAUGAUUUGUCUACCAGCCCAUGGAGCUGUUAUUGGAGCUUGGUUUGGAGCUGCUAUUUACUAGUCGAGUCAAGUGUGAUCAAGCUGUACCUUGUUUUUGUCUUCUGCAAAAAGCAUACGCAAAUCUCCCA